CCUACGGGUGGCAGCAGUGGGGAAUAUUGCACAAUGGGGGGAACCCUGAUGCAGCGACGCCGCGUGAGUGAUGAAGUAUUUCGGUUUGUAAAGUUCUGUUAGCAGGGAAGAAGAGAGACGGUACCUGACCAAGAAGCCCCGGCUAACUACGUGCCAGCAGCCGCGGUAAUACGUAGGGGGCAAGCGUUAUCCGGAUUUACUGGGUGUAAAGGGGGAGUAGACGGCGGGGCAAGCCCGGAGUGAAAGGCAGGGGCACAACCCCUGGACUGCUCUGGAAAUUGUCCGGCUGGAGUGCAGGAGAGGUAAGUGGAAUUCCUGGUGUAGCGGUGAAAUGCGUAGAUAUAAGGAGGAACACCAGUGGCGAAGGUGGCUUACUGGACUGUAACUGACGUUGAGGCGCGAAAGCGUGGGGAGCAAACAGGAUUAGAUACCCGGGUAGUC
rnacentral:rRNA from 1 species